ACCUGAGAGUGAGGGAUGAUUUUGACUAUCAAUUUCUUUCACUCCACGAAUUUCAUCCUCUUCUCACCAAAAGAACAUUUAGACAGCAGAUUUGCUAUGCUACCCCAAUUUUAUUGCUUCUUUCCCACAACUCCUCCUUCGUUUCAAGCUCUACUGCUGCACUAUCACCAUGUGUUAUUAGAGUUGGUUAGGAGAGAGAUUGCUCCAUCAACUUAUCUGGCUUCAAGCUAGGCCUUGAGAUCUUUGGCCUCUUCAUUAUAUGUGGAACUUGGGAUCUCAUCAUUUUGGAAAGGGAUAUAAUCUUAGAUCUUCUUGAUCGUAUACGUGAAGCGAUUUGACAUGUUGGUGAUGGACUCAUACUCAGUGAGUAACUAAGUAUCCAUAUCUUGGAUUCUUUAACUUGGUUGAUGCCUUCAGCCUCACAUCCAAAUCCUACAAAACUAACUUGAUUAUCUGAGCAAACCUAAUGGAUCAAGGGAAAAAACCUCAGCAAGAAGGUUAGAGGGUUAUUCAAAAGAAGCAAACUGAAAAGGUUUCUUCUUUUUUUUCUUCAACUUCAAACUAUCUUCAAAAUAAUCCUAUUUCAGGAUUAUUCAUUUACCAACCUUAUGGAUAUUUACCUCAUCAGCUUCUAUAAAAGCCAUUUUACCAUAAGAGAUUUUAACUAGAUUUCUUUCAAAAUGCUCA